AACGAACGCUGGCGGCAUGCCUAACACAUGCAAGUCGAACGAACCCUUCGGGGUUAGUGGCGCACGGGUGCGUAACGCGUGGGAACCUGCCUUUAGGUCCGGGAUAACAGUUGGAAACGACUGCUAAUACCGGAUGAUGUCUUCGGACCAAAGAUUUAUCGCCUUUAGAUGGGCCCGCGUUGGAUUAGCUAGUUGGUGGGGUAAAGGCCUACCAAGGCGACGAUCCAUAGCUGGUCUGAGAGGAUGAUCAGCCACACUGGGACUGAGACACGGCCCAGACUCCUACGGGAGGCAGCAGUGGGGAAUAUUGGACAAUGGGCGAAAGCCUGAUCCAGCAAUGCCGCGUGAGUGAUGAAGGCCUUAGGGUUGUAAAGCUCUUUUACUGGGGAUGAUAAUGACAGUACCCAGAGAAUAAGCUCCGGCUAACUCCG
rnacentral:rRNA from 1 species